UGCAGUCGAGGCGGUAGAUAUUCUUAGCGUUGUUCUUAUCGGGUCACGGGCGGACGGCGGAGUAGCACGUGGGUAACCUGCCCAUAAGACUGGGAUAACUCCGGGAAACCGGGGCUAAUACCGGAGAACAUUUUGAACCGCAUGGUUCAAAAUUGAAAGGCGGCUUCUGCUGUCGCUUAUGGAUGGACCCGCGUCGAAGUAACUACUUGGCGAGGUAACGGCUCACCAGGGCACCGAUGCGUAGCCCACCUGAGAGGGUGAUCGGCCACACUGGGACUGACACACGGCCCAAACUCCUACGGGAGGCAGCAAUAGGGAAUCUUCCGCAAUGGACGAAAGUCUGACGGAGCAGCCCCGCGUGAGUGAUGAAGGCUUUCUGGUCGUAAAACUCUGUUGUUAGGGAAGAACAAGUGCUACUUGAAUAAGCUGGCACCUUGACGGUACCUAACCAGAAAGCCACGGCUAACUACGUGCCAUCAGCCGCGGUAAUACGUACGUGGCAAGCGUUAUCCCGAAUUAUUGGGCGUAAAGCGCGCGCAGGUGGUUUCUUAAGUCUGAUGUGAACGCCCACGGCUCCUCCGUGGAGGGUCAUUGGAAACUGGGACACUUGUGUGCAGAAUAGGAAAGUGGAAUUCCAUGUGUAGCGGUGAUAUGCGUAGAGAUAUGGAGGAACACCAAUGGCAAAGGCGACUUUCUGGUCUGUCACUGACACUGAAGCGCGAAAGCGUGGGGAGCAAACAGGAUUAGAUACCCUGGUAGUCCACUCCGUAAACGAUGAGUGCUAGGUGUUAGAGGGUUUCCGCCCUUUAGCGCUGAAGAUUACGCAUUAAGCACUCCACCUGGAGAGUACGGCCGCGAGGCUGAACCUCAAUGGAAUGAGCGGUGGCACUCACAAGCGCUGGAGCAUGCGGUUUAAUUCGAAGCAACGCGAAGAACCUUACCAGGUCUUGACAUCCUCUGAAAACCCUAGAGAUAGGGCUUCUCCUUCGGGAGCAGAGUGACAGGUGGUGCAUGGUUGUCGUCAGCUCGUGUCGUGAGAUGUUGGGUUAAGUCCCGCAACGAGCGCAACCCUUGAUCUUAGUUGCCAUCAUUAAGUUGGGCACUCUAAGGUGACUGCCGGUGACAAACCGGAGGAAGGUGGGGAUGACGUCAAAUCAUCAUGCCCCUUAUGACCUGGGCUACACACGUGCUACAAUGGACGGUACAAAGAGCUGCAAGACCGCGAGGUGGAGCUAAUCUCAUAAAACCGUUCUCAGUUCGGAUUGUAGGCUGCAACUCGCCUACAUGAAGCUGGAAUCGCUAGUAAUCGCGGAUCAGCAUGCCGCGGUGAAUACGUUCCCGGGCCUUGUACACACCGCCCGUCACACCACGAGAGUUUGUAACACCCGAAGUCGGUGGGGUAACCUUUUGGAGCCAGCCGC
rnacentral:rRNA from 1 species